rnacentral:rRNA from 1 species
AGCGAACGCUAGCGGCGGGCUUAACACAUGCAAGUCGAGCGAGAACUUCGGUUCUAGCGGCGAACGGGUGAGUAACACGUAGAUGACGUACCCUUUGGCGGGGGAUAACUCAGGGAAACCUGAGCUAAUACCGCAUAUGUCCUUCGGGAUGAAAGGCUUCGGCCACCAGAGGAUCGGUCUGCGGCCCAUUAUCUAAUCCUAGUUGGUAGGGUAACGGCCUACCAAGGGUACGAUGGGUAGCUGGUCUGAGAGGAUGAUCAGCCACACUGGGACUGAGACACGGCCCAGACUCCUACGGGAGGCAGCAGUGGGGAAUAUUGGACAAUGGGCGAAAGCCUGAUCCAGCCACGCCGCGUGAGUGAUGAAGGCCCUAGGGUUGUAAAGCUCUGUCGGGAGGGACGAAGGCUUCGGCUUGACGGUACCUCGCAAGAAAGCACCGGCUAACUUCG